rnacentral:pre_miRNA from 1 species
CCAUUCGUGAAAAUGGUUGUGCAGUGUUGUUCUAGUCAUAUCACAGCCAUUUUUGACGAGUCGGG